rnacentral:lncRNA from 1 species
GGGGGGGAGACAUUCUGACAAUUCAUUCAUCUCCUUACAAUUAAGACAUCUUCCUACAACCCAUUCUCAAGUCUUCAUUCUUCUACUCUUAAAUUCCACAACAAGAGAAUCGUUACUUGCUACGGAAUCACUAAAACCACACGCCAAACACCUACUAUUCACGCCAUCCACCAUGCAAAACGUGAUAUCCUUCGCAUUCAUGGGUAACUAAAUCUCUUAGUUGGGGUUAUGGAAGCCGAAUGAGUUACUAUCUAUAGCUAUGAGUUUGUGAGUUCAAGACAAGUAUAUUGCUUAUAUCAUUAUUCUCUUCAUCUUAAAUCUACAUUCUUUGCGGUUCAAACACAAGAACACGCCAUUCUAACAUCUAACCUGUUCGAGAGAAAGGUUAUUUGUCUAGAAAAGAAGACGCAUAGACCAACGCCAGUCUAACAUCUGACUUGUUCGAGAGAAAAGUUAUUUGUCUGGAAAAGAGAUAAUGUCAAGGUAGUAGGACACCCUUUCCUAUU